CCUACGGGCGGCAGCAGUGGGGAAUAUUGGGCAAUGGGCGCAAGCCUGACCCAGCAACGCCGCGUGAAGGAAGAAGGCUUUCGGGUUGUAAACUUCUUUUCUCAGGGACGAAGCAAGUGACGGUACCUGAUGAAUAAGCCACGGCUAACUACGUGCCAGCAGCCGCGGUAAUACGUAGGUGGCAAGCGUUAUCCGGAUUUACUGGGUGUAAAGGGCGUGUAGGCGGGAAUGCAAGUCAGAUGUGAAAACCAUGGGCUCAACCUAUAGCCUGCAUUUGAAACUGUUUUUCUUGAGUACUGGAGAGGCAGACGGAAUUCCGAGUGUAGCGGUGAAAUGCGUAGAUAUAAGGAGGAACACCAGUGGCGAAGGCGGAUUGCUGGACAGCAACUGACGCUGAGGCGCGAAAGCGUGGGGAGCAAACAGGAUUAGAUACCCCAGUAGUC
rnacentral:rRNA from 1 species